rnacentral:lncRNA from 1 species
GCAGGGUGGGCUUAGUGGUAAGUGACCUAUGGGAGUAGCACAGCGUCCCACGUUCAGAAGGAACCUGGGCUUGUUUUAACGCUCUGCAGUCGCCAUCUUGAAAUUCUUAAUGAUUUUUUAAAUUGGGGGCCCCAUUUUAUGCAGUGGGCUCUCAAAUUAUGUAGCCAGUCCUGCAUAAGUAGAUGCAGAAUUCAUUUUAUUUGACAAUAACUUAUGGAACAUCUCAUAUAUACUAAGGCACCAUACAGGGACUGGCAAUUCAAAGUUUUUCCUCUAGCAGAAGAAAAACAGUUACUCUGCAAAGUACUCCCAACUCAUCAUCAUGUUUCCUGCCAUGAAAGGUUUGGGAAGACUGGAGGAACCUGGAAGUGCCAUGAGCUUUAGUGGGAGGAAAAAAUGCAGGAAACGAAGAAAGAAGACAUAGAGAUACAGUAUGGAUAUUUGGUUCUCUUUCCUUCCUGGGCACAAGGAAGAAACACUUCCCAGUCCUCUUAUAGAGCUGUGUGACUAAUUCUGGCCUAUAAACUGUGAGUAGAAGUAACAAGUCGCUUUCAGAC